rnacentral:rRNA from 1 species
UACGGAGGGGGCUAGCGUUGUUCGGAAUUACUGGGCGUAAAGCGCACGUAGGCGGCUUUGUAAGUUAGAGGUGAAAGCCCAGGGCUUAACCCUGGAAUUGCCUUUAAGACUGCAUCGCUAGAAUCGUGGAGAGGUGAGUGGAAUUCCGAGUGUAGAGGUGAAAUUCGUAGAUAUUCGGAAGAAACACCAGUUGGCGAAGGCGACUCACUGGACACGUAUUGACGCUGAGGUGCGAAAGCGUGGGGAGCAAACAGG